GUUAAUAGAGAGAUAAUGAGAAAGUGGACUAUGGAGAAGCUACGUAUCUUACGAACUGGUGGCUACAAAUGGCCAGUGGCGGUGCUUCUGCCGGAAAAUUCGUCGGUGCCGGAGUACUGUUGUUGACUAAACCUGGCUCCUUAAAUAUCCGUCGAAAACACUUUUUGCCAUUAAAAAGUUCAGCACAUUAUUAUUUUUUUCAAAAAUUAUCAUAUAGUUGUAUCAGUCGCCAAAACGACUCGACGGUUUGGUCGCAGAGAUUCAAAUUUAGUAAGAAUAAAAGCUAUAGACAAAGCGGUGGUUUAGACGGAGAAGAAGAAGAAGAAAGUUCUGAAAGAAAACGCAAAAAGCGGAGGUGGUGGUCCGAUGAAACGCCGUUUAUGGAGGAACAAGAAGAAGAACCACCUGAUAUUUUGGAGGAAUUUAUUGACGAUCUUUGGAUUAUUGAGGUAUUCAAAUCCUACGGUUGGGGGCUUCCACUCAUAAUUAUAUCUUGGUUGAUAGCCACUGGUCCUAAAGCUUUGCUUAUGACAUUAGCUUUCCCUUUUGGGCAGUUAAUCACUACUUUUGUGUUUAAGAAGCUUUGGGGAACGGCUCGGAGUAAAAAGCCGAAACGCACGGCCGGAAAGAGGAGGAAAAGGAAACCAUUUGUGACUUCUCCAAGUGAUGUUGAAAAUGAAGAACAAGAGCAAGAAAUGCAGGAGGAGAGUGUGAAGGGAGAUAAUGUUAAGGGUUUUCAGUCUUGGGUAGGUAAUGAUGAUGGUUCGGUUAAUAAGGGAAGUAAAGAGGAGCCCUGUUUUGGUGGAUGGGAUGAGCUUGAUCGGAUGGAAGCUACGCAACGCCCACCUCGGAGGGACGGUCAGCCUCGGAGAAGAACAUCGAUGAAUGGGAAAUUGGGUAAGAGAGGAAGUAAAAAUGAUGUGCCUUUGCUGUUGAGAUUGUUGAUUUCGUUUUUUCCAUUUUUAGGUUCUUGGACAAAGAUGCUUUAGUAAAAAUCUGGUAUGCUAGAUUAGAAUCUGCAGUAUUGUGAGCUUUUGGGUUGAAGCAUGAGUUCAUGAUCGAGAAGGGUUGUUCGUCGACUCUGUUCGUUUUGAGCAUUUUCCAUUUCACAGAAUUGGGAGAAUAUUGAGAAAAAUUUCAUGUUAUUUUUGAAGUGUUUCAUGGCAAUGCAGAGUGUCACUGCAUAUGAGUGCCUAUUGCCUGGUAAUUGUUUGCUUCACCCUGGCAGAAGGGAAGGGAUUCUUUUUUAUCAACGGAAGGGAUUCUUACAACCUUAUAAUCAAAGACAGAUGAAUCAUAUCCAAACCCUAUAGCCUUCCAUGCAUGAAAAGGAAAUAUAUGGUCAGGUUAUGGGGAAGGUAAUGUUGUAGGUUCUCUGGUAGAGGGAUUCCAUAGAAUCAGACGCAGUCAGAGAAACACAUACGACACCAUCACAGCAACACAUGAUCUCCAAUAGAUCCCACGUGAUCUCCAACGGAUCCCAGGUUGAUGGUGUAAAAUCAGUCGGAAAGCUGUGUGAUACAUACAUCUUCGCAUUGUUGUUCUUCUACUUUUUUGAUUGUUUCAUAAUCUGCCAUUUUUAUCAGCCAGCUUCUGCAAAGUUUCCGUGGCAGCUGUUUCUGCAUUGCUUCAAGUCCUCGUGCAGUUUUCACAGCGUUGACAACGAACUUCUCUUGAAAAAUCAAAGAAAUUGUGACAUUAUGACGACUCUAGUAGUUCCUGGUGAAAUUCUGCCAUUGUGACGAUUCUAGUAGUUCUGUGAAACUAUGGCUGCUAAUAAGAGAAUUCCAUUGCUUCGAAAUGCACUUCAA